CGAGCUGCCGCCAGGACCUCAGAUAGGAAGAUUUAACGGCCUUCAAAGAUGAGAAUAUUUCGGACUUUUCAAAUCUGCUAGAUAAUAAGCAAUGAAAGGUUGAUUCCUCCACUUGGUUGCACCGCCGGCAGAUUGGAUCCACUGAUUGAAUUUGGGAUUGGAUCUUCUGAAGAACAGGUAUUCCAAAGAUGGGUAAAAGAAUUGGAAGCUUAUCCUGUAUGCCGAAUUCACAGUGAAACUACCACAUUUUUCUUUUAUCCAGGUAACUCUAUCUUCGAUCUCAUGUAUCUGUGUGUUGAGGAUCGUUGUAGCAAUUUUUGGGCUGAAAAUUGAUUGAAUUAGUGAUUGAUUCCAUGACCUGUUAGGUAAGAUUAGGUUCAAAACUCUCUUUGGGUUUUCUUCUAAAUGUUGGGGGAGAUUAGGAGUGAUGGCUACAUAAUCUCUGACUCAUGAAUUUUUCCUAAUUCGAAUAGAUAGACCUCUGCCCACUUUCUA